UACGAAGGGUGCAAGCGUUACUCGGAAUUACUGGGCGUAAAGGGUGCGUAGGUGGUUUUUAAGUCCGUUGUGAAAUCCCUGGGCUCAACCUGGGAAUGGCAGUGGAUACUGGAAAGCUAGAGUGCGGUAGAGGGUAGUGGAAUUCCCGGUGUAGCAGUGAAAUGCGUAGAGAUCGGGAGGAACACCAGUGGCGAAGGCGGCUGCCUGGGCCUGGCCUGACGCUGAGGCGCGAAAGCGUGGGGAGCGAUCCGG
rnacentral:rRNA from 1 species